UAUACCUCUGUGUCCAAUGGCUGGCUUCAACUACUGAUUGAACAGAAACUAAAAAACAAAUGGUCUUAGGGACCAGACAUAACCCCUGCUCUAUUACCACUAUGGGGGAACAAGAGGAGAUUGAGACCUAUAUGCCAAAAAGAUGAUUCCAGGAAAACUUUCCUCCAUGGGGUGGAAAGCAAGGUGGGCCCUACAGAAACUCAAGCCUAAAGAGAGGAGUUAUGAAAGAGUGGUUCCAUCUAGAUGAAGAAAGGAACUAGAAAGAAAUGAAGAAACUGAGGACAUUUGAUGCCCAUGAAAACUCUUUACCGAGCCACUUAGUUUGAGCAAGACACAAUGGUCACAGAAUCUGGAAUCCCAGUUGUGGUUUAAGCCAUCAUAGAUGGUAUCAAGAAUACUCCUGGGACCUUUUGUUGUGAAGAAAAGGAAUGAGAUUCCAAGUGCUCAGGAUCUAACAUACAGAGUACAAGACCAUCCUGACCAUGCUCAUGAGAGCCCUACCAAGGUAGGCUGCAGAACCACUCCCAUCAUUUUCUUGGCCCUGUUCUGCCUGUCAUGCCUAUAUGGUGAGAGUCCUCCUUUACUGGCUGAAGCAUUCCUGCUACCUGCUCCAGGUCUGCUAGGGAGAGACCCAUGCUGUGCAAACAUGAGAGACUCCAAGCAGCUCAGGCCUAAUGGGUCCUCAGCUGGGGAGCUCCCACCUGGCUGCCUCCCAAGGAUCAAUGACAGACACCCUGCAGAGCGCUGUGAACCAAAGGAAAUCAACUAGCAAAAAGAGAGUAUGUUUUAUAAAUUGGCUGCUGAGAAGCUGGGAAACCUCUGAUUAGCCCCUGCUGACAAAGGUACAAGGAUAUCAUCACUGCUUUUAUUACACAAAAGGCAUAUGUGUGUAAAGUUAUGGGUGGCUGGCUGGUUGUUGUUGUUGUUGUUUUUUAAACUUUCACCUUCUGUCUUAGAAUCCAUACUAUCUGUUCCAAAGUGGGCAAUGGGGCUUAAGUGACUUGCCCAAGGUCACACAGCUAGGAAGUAUCUGAGGCCAAAUUUGAACCCAGGACCACCAGGCCUGGCUCUCUGUCCACCUAACUGCCCCUAGUAGUUUGGGUGUUUGUGUGUUUAUAUAUAUUUUUAUUUACCAAUUACAUAUAAUAAAUUAAGUUUUUCAAAUAAAAUUAU